GACGAACCGUGCGAACGUUGUUCGGAUUCACUGGGCUUAAAGGGCGCGUAGGCGGGCUGCCAAGUCAGGGGUGAAAGCUCCCGGCCCAACCGGGAAAGGGCCUUUGAUACUGGCGGCCUCGAGGGAGGUAGGGGCACGCGGAACUUCCGGUGGAGCGGUGAAAUGCGUAGAUAUGGGAAGGAACGCCGGUGGCGAAAGCGGCGUGCUGGACCUCUU
rnacentral:rRNA from 1 species